AGAGUGAACGCUGGCGGUAGGCCUAACACAUGCAAGUCGAACGGCAGCACAGUAGGAGCUUGCUCUUACGGGUGGCGAGUGGCGGACGGGUGAGGAAUACAUCGGAAUCUACCUUUUGGUGGGGGAUAACGUAGGGAAACUUACGCUAAUACCGCAUACGCCCUUCGGGGGAAAGCCGGGGACCAGCAAUGGCCUGGUGCUGAUAGAUGAGCCGAUGUCGGAUUAGCUAGUUGGUGAGGUAAUGGCUCACCAAGGCGACGAUCCGUAGCUGGUCUGAGAGGAUGAUCAGCCACACUGGAACUGAGACACGGUCCAGACUCCGACGGGAGGCAGCA
rnacentral:rRNA from 1 species